rnacentral:lncRNA from 1 species
UGUCCUUGGCUCCUGUUUUGUGGUUCCAAAGAGUGAGUCUGAGGCGUGACCUAGUGUUCAGUCCCUCCGGGUUGCUUGGGGGAGCACCGAACUUUAUGUCCCACAAUGAUUUAAUAGGGAUACAUCUGGUUUAUGAAACUGAUUUUGCUUCCAUAUUCCUUCCUAACAGAAUAAUAGGUCGUCUGCUGCUGUUGCAAAGAAAUAUGUCGUUUAACUGCCUCGUUUUAAGGUAAGAAAGCCGCCCUCAGAGAACUUGAGUUAUCUAGACCUUUACUCUCUGACUCAUUUACAUUUACUCUCUGGCUAUAAACAAGGAUACCAACUUUACCAACGUAGAAGAGUUCAAAACACAACACAAGCCCUUUGAGCUUUAAAGCAAUAAAUUCUAAUAUAAAUGACAGCAGUGAUCAUAGUGAUUAAGCUCCUAAACACAAGAGGUUCAUUAGGGCACAUUCAGAUGAGCCACAGGCUUUUGGGGAGAGGAGCCUUUUGUAGUCAAACUCCCUGCUUUAAUUUCUGCCCUGUGGGGUUAGACAGGCUAAGUUCAAACUUUGGCUGUUUCAUUUACUAGUGCAACCUGGGUCAAAUUCCUUUACUUUUCACUUCCUUAGAUAUAAAAUCUAAGAUUGAGGUAGGAUAGAAGAAAUUUAAAAAAAAAAUAGGCAGAAAGGAGACAUAAAGAUAAAAGAAAUUCUGCAUAAUGUUUCAGGCCAGUCACUUCCUAAGCCAGUGUCUCCUAGGCCAGUCACCCACGAAUUCCUGUGAAAUCUGUAAUUCUACCUUUGCACUGUUAAUCAACACCCCCCCCCAAUAAAUAUGUUAAAUAAAGAGAGAUGUAAUAUUUUGAGAAACCUAUAAUUUAAGGGACUUUCCAGUGCUAUUGAUCAGACAAUCAAGAACACAUCGCCUAAGGAUCCUGAGAUUGCCCAGACCACCAUAAACUGUUGAGAUCACUAGACCGAUAUCUUUCUCAUACCUACCCCUCAGCAAGUUUCUUUUACAAGAAGAGCCAGAGCCUAGCAUAGUGGCACAAUUGGUAAUUCUAGUGACUUGAGAGGCUGAGGCAGGAGGAUUGCAAGUUUGAGGACAGCCUCAGUAACUUAGGCCCUAAGCAACUUUGUGAGACUCUGACUCAAAAACAAAAUAUAUAGGGCUGGGGAUGUAGCUCAGUGGUAAAGCACCCCUAGAUUCAAUCCCCAGUACCUAAAUAAAGAGCCAGAAUUUCCAAACCACAUCUCUCAUUCUCAAGAUGGCCUGUAUUCUCACUUGAAUGUGUAUUCCUUGCUUUACCCCCAAAAGCAUCUAUCUUGAGAUUGUCAGCAUUCUCCCUGAACACAUAUCUACCUUCCUAAAUAACAGGAAAGUAGACCUCUGUUUAUGCCUCUGACUGAUACACACUUGAAAUUCUUUUCCAUCAUUUAAGGAAAAGAUCUUGCUAGUACGGAGUCAAAUCCCCCCUUCCCUUUGGGAUCUCCUAGGAUCCUUCUCCAGAGACACCUAUUCUCCAGUGUCAGGAUAAUGGGAUAAUAGAUGUAAAGCACACAGACAUAGAUUUAUUAUUAUUAUUUAUUAUUAUAUUUUAUUUGUUAUGUAUUAUUAUUUUAUUUGUAUAUUUUUAUUAUAUUUUGUUAAUAUUUAUUAUUUUAUUUUAUUACAUAAGGACCUCCCUAAUCCAGCUACUCAUUUUGCAGUCUCAUGUCCUGAUGCUGCACUCCAGUGUGAGGAAAGAGUUCACUGUGUCCUUCCUCAGCUCCCACCACCUGACCCUUUCACUGGAAUUACAGUGGUACAUCACUAUGCUCAGCUCUGAGUACAAAAUCUUAUCACCUCUUUGCUUCUCUGUUUAAAAUGCCUUCGUUGUCUCAUUGGUGAAAUCUUUAUCAUCUCCCAAUUUGGCUAUCACCUUCUCAGUGAUCCUUCUUAUGGAACUUCUUCAAAAUUUUAGCUGUAAUUUUUUUCUUGUGGUGCUAGAGACUAAACCUAGGUCCUUGUAGCAUGCUAGGCAAGUGCUCUGCCACGGAGCUACAUCCUUAGCCCUUUAACUGUAAUUAAUAGUUCACUUAGGAAUGUGUGUGUGUGUAUAUGUGUGUGUGUGGGGGGGGGGUGCUAGAAGUGCCAGGAUCUUGAGCAUGCUAGGCAAGCACUCUAUCAUUGAGCUAAACCCCAGUCUUUUUAAAAUUUUGAGACAGGGUCUUGCUAAGUUGCCUAGGCUGGCCUAAAACUUGUGAUCCUUCUGUCUCAGCCUCCUGAGUAGUUGCAGUUACAGGUGUGCACCAAUGUGCUCAGCAAAUUUAAUUUUUUUUUAAAAAUCCAGGCUUCCUCUUCCUUGGCAGGCAGGCAUCCUCUUCCUUGCAGAUUAGCAACACCAUAUUGCUCUUAAUACUUCUCCCAAUUCCUUUUAAGCACAGACCUAUGUCUUUUUUUUAAAAAAAAAAUGCUUUGUCCUUAGAACAAUUUUAUUUAAUUUUUGGUGGUGCUAGGGAUUGAACCCAGGGUCUUGUGCAUGCUAAGCAAGCACUCCACCAAUUGAGCUGUAUCCCCAGCCCCCAGACCUAUGUCUUUGCUGGGCUCUAUUACACUUCACUUUACCUGGUUCGUUUUCAUUCUUCCUUCAGGAUGUAGCUCAGGUUGUCAGGCUUGAUGGUGCAUGCCUGUAAUCUCAGUGACACAGGAUGGUGAGGCAGGAGGAUCACAUGUUUGAGGCCAGCCUCAGCAACUUAGCAAGGCCCUAAGCAAUUUAGUGAAACCUGAUUUCAAAAAUUAAAAACAAAAGUUGGGGCUGAGGAUGUGGCUUAGUGGUAAAGCAUCCCUGAUUCAAUCCACCACCCCCACCCCCCGCAAAAAAAAAAAAAAAAAAAAAAAAGAUUCAGCUCAAGCAUUAUUUCCUAUUGGGCUGAGGUGCCCUACUCUGCCCUCAUAUAACCCUUCAUGCAUGUUUGUAUUUUGGUACUUACCUUUUUUAUAUCAAAAUGCUUAUGUGUCUCCAUUAUGAUACUAUUCCUGUGCCCCAUAGUAGGUUUUGAAAAGAAAAUGACUUUAUUAAUACAUCCCACAUGUAAUACAGGCCAUCAACUUAAAAGUAAACAAUGAUUUUUGGUAUAUUUACAGAGUUGUGUAGCCAUCACCAUAAUCAAUCUUACAUUUUCAUCAUUCUCAAAAGAAACACUAUAUCCAUUAGCAGUCACUACCAUUUCUUCCCAAUUUUCAAUGCCUGAGGCAAUAGCUUCUGUCUCUGUAGAUUUGCCUCUGUUGGACGUUUCAUACAAAUGAGAUCAUACACUAUGUGAUCCUUUGUGAUUCACUACUUUUUUGCAUAGCAUGUUUUCAGGGUUCAGUUAUGUUGUAGCACAUCAGUAUUUCAUUCCUUUUUAUUGUCAAAUAAUAUUCCAUUAUAUGAACAUACCACAUUUUAUUUAUCUAUGUUUCCACGUUCUAUUAUGAAUAAUGAUGCUAUGAAUAUGUGAAUAUGUGUAAACUUGGGAACUUCACUUCUCUUGGGAAUAUAUCUAUGAGUGGAAUUUCUGGGUCAAGUUGCAAUUAGAAUUGUUUUACCUUUUUGAGGGACUGCCAGACUAUUUUGCAGAGUGGUUGCAUUACUUUAUAUUCCCACCAGCAAGGUAUGAGGGUUCAGUUUCUCACACCCUCACUAAAUUUAUCUUUUUGUAAUUGUUACCAUCCGAGGGGUGUGAUGUGUUCUCAUUGAUUUGAUUAUACUUCCCUGUUGAGUAAUAAUGUUGAACAUCUUUUCAUGUGCUCACUAGCUAUUCAUGUUACUUUUUAUCACUAAAUGUAGUUAUGAUGUUACCUUGUUAGCAAAAUGCAAAUUAAUAGAAUUUAUAUUCACAAAUAAGUGCAGAAAUCAAACAAGGUUGCGACUGUUCUUGUAUCAUCACCAGCCCUCCAGGGUCAAACCUGUCAUCCAACAGUCAAGCUGAUGCUCACUGCAGUAGGGGAGAGUACACACCAGAGGAAUGGUGGGAGGAUGGUAUCUUGUCAAGUAAAGGAUAUGACAGUUACUAUAGGAUUAUGGGGAAGGUGGAGAUUUAGCCAAAUUUAAGUGAAACAGUUUGAUAGGCUCAAAGGAACACAGAGUAUGCAAAAAUCUGCUGACAUCUGCUUGGACUGCAGAGGGCCCAAGGCAUCAGUCUCCUCAGCAGAUAUAAAGUUAAGAUAAAUUUAAAGUUGUGUUCACAAACCUCUGCCUGGAAGCCCUAUACCUGGGUUGGAAAUCAAGGCUAUGCUCCUUUCUGUCAAAGUGACAGCUCCUCCAAACAAGACAGUCAGGAUUCAAACAGCAAACUAUGAUUUUAGAGAACAGUUUCUUGGCAAAUUUUUUUAAAGAGUAGUCACUCAGAAGAAAAAUGUGUGUUUUUGACACUUUAAGCUUCAGCGUGUGAUUUGGAAAGAAAUAUAAUUUGCUUCGACUCUGUAGCUGUUUUUAUGUGUAUUUUAUUUUUUUGACAGGGCUUGGGAUCACUCCCAAGGUGUAGGCACACACUAGUUCUACCACAGAGCUACAUACCCAGAUUUUUUUGCUUUUUCAGUCUGAGCUAUUUACUUCCUCAAGACCAAUUCACAAAUGACUGAACUAUCUCCAGAGGCUUGAUUGUCAGGAUCAUUGAAAUCACUUAAAAAUGAACCUUGGAAGGGCUGGGGCUGUGGUGGCUCAGUGGUAGAGCACUUGUCUAGCACAUGUGAGGCAGUGGGUUCGAUCCUUAGCACCACAUAAAAAUAAAUAAAGAUAUUGUGUCCAUCUACAACUUAAAAUAUAUUUUUUUAAAAAACUUAAAAAAAAUAAAAAGGUAAAAGACUGGUAGAAGGUAUCAUUCUAUUAGGUUCAAACAUGUAUUGUCCAGUUCAAACAGCUCUCAACAAAUGACGCUGUUAUUCCAGGUAGUGCACCCUAUGAUAUAUUGUAAAGACAUUACUAUUUACUGGUCACUUUAUUUCCUCUUCCAGGGCCCACAGAAGACUUGAUUUCUUGACUUUCCUUAUGUUGGAACCAUGUGACUGAGUUUGGUAGACAUGGGCAGGAGUAAGCCACUUCCAGGCCUACCUGAAAAAUAUUACUUCCCCUUUCCAAAGUGACUGGGAGGCCAGAUGUUCCAGAUGAAGGUGGAGAAGGGCUGAUCUAUUGCCAAAGGACUUUGUGCAAGCAAAAAAUAAACUUUGGUUGUGCUCAGUCACUGAGAUUUGGGAGUUUGUUGCACAGCCUCACCUUACCUAGCCAAUUGAGACUGCAGUCAAGUGUCACUCU